rnacentral:rRNA from 1 species
CAAUAGCGUAUAUUAAAGCUGUUGCGGUUAAAAAGCUCGUAGUUGGAUUUCUGUCAAGGACAACUGGUCCGCCCCUCGGGUGAGCACAUAGUUUGGUCUUGGCAUCUUGUUGGAAACUGUUGCUGCACUUGGUUGUGUGGCGCAGUGUCCAGCACUUUCACUUUGAGGAAAUUGGAGUGUUUCAAGCAGGCACAUGCCUUUGGACACAGUAGCAUGGAAUAAUUAGAUUGGGCUUUUGCUCCUACUUGUCGGUUUCUGGAGCUGAGGUGAGAAUUAAUGGGGAUUGUUGGGGGCAUCCGAAUUUAGCCGUCAGAGGUGAAAUUCUUGGAUCUGCUAAAGACGGACAACUGCGAAAGCGUUUGCCCAGGAUGUUUUCAUUGA